CGCUGAUUGGCUAAUCGCGAAAACAAGAUGGCGCCGGUGGGCGUGGUUACAAUUUGCCGAAAUUUUUAACUUUGAAGAAAGCGAGCGUGACGUUUUGUAACUUCCUGUUUGAUCCUGACGGAAUCUCUGCACCUAGAGAAGACACCUGUGAUGUGAACCUGUUUGAGACGACCAUUAUAUGAAAGCAGACACAUCAAAUGAUGGCUGAAGUGAAAAGGAGAAGGAGAAAACUGAAGCCAGUUGAUGAGGCCAUACAGUUCUCACUACUACAGAAAGACAAAUCUGGUCUUGAAGGAAGAUUCAUCAAUGAUUU